rnacentral:rRNA from 1 species
GCGGCGCGCCUAACACAUGCAAGUCGAACGAGACAUGAAGAGCUUGCUCUUCAAAUCGAGUGGCGAACGGGUGAGUAACGCGUGAGGAACCUGCCUCAAAGAGGGGGACAACAGUUGGAAACGACUGCUAAUACCGCAUAAGCCCACGGCUCGGCAUCGAGCAGAGGGAAAAGGAGCAAUCCGCUUUGAGAUGGCCUCGCGUCCGAUUAGCUAGUUGGUGAGGUAACGGCCCACCAAGGCGACGAUCGGUAGCCGGACUGAGAGGUUGAACGGCCACAUUGGGACUGAGACACGGCCCAGACUCCUACGGGAGGCAGCAGUGGGGAAUAUUGCACAAUGGGGGAAACCCUGAUGCAGCGACGCCGCGUGGAGGAAGAAGGUCUUCGGAUUGUAAACUCCUGUUGUUGAGGAAGAUAAUGACGGUACUCAACAAGGAAGUGACGGCUAACUACGUGCCAGCAGCCGCGGUAAAACGUAGGUCACAAGCGUUGUCCGGAAUUACUGGGUGUAAAGGGAGCGCAGGCGGGAGAACAAGUUGGAAGUGAAAUCCAUGGGCUCAACCCAUGAACUGCUUUCAAAACUGUUUUUCUUGAGUAGUGCAGAGGUAGGCGGAAUUCCCGGUGUAGCGGUGGAAUGCGUAGAUAUCGGGAGGAACACCAGUGGCGAAGGCGGCCUACUGGGCACCAACUGACGCUGAGGCUCGAAAGUGUGGGUAGCAAACAGGAUUAGAUACCCUGGUAGUCCACACCGUAAACGAUGAUUACUAGGUGUUGGAGGAUUGACCCCUUCAGUGCCGCAGUUAACACAAUAAGUAAUCCACCUGGGGAGUACGACCGCAAGGUUGCAA